rnacentral:rRNA from 1 species
GGAGGUCACGGCGAGACGAGCCGUUUAUCAUUACGAUAGGUGUCAAGUGGAAGAUGGCCUUCAACAAAAAAAAGUGGAAGAUCGCCUCUUCAACAAAAAAAAAGUGGAAGGUGGCAGUAAUGUACGCAGCUGAGGCAUCCUAACAGACCGG